AAUGGAGCCAAAUUCACACAAUUUCCAUCAACAAAAACGCAAGCUUGCAGAAGUGUAUUCUAUGGAUUGCCUUAUGUCACAGGGCUCAAAAUCAGCUAGAUGUACACAAAAUAACGAAGAUACGUAUCUAUGAACUCGCAAUAUGAUGGGUCAAUGGCUGAAUACCAAGCCUCUUCUGACAUUGAACAUGGAAGAAAUGCAGCUAUCAGGAUACAUAUGGAGAUUGGAUAGAAUAAUAAAUCAAAUCAAGUGCCUAAAACCUCUCGUAGAAAAAUUCCUACGCCUCGGUUGACAAUGGUUUUUUUCUCGGAGUGAAUAUUUUCAAUUUAACCCUCAACUACAUGCAAUAUUUAUAUAAUGUAAGUUGUGUGUAGCUACUUCGAAUUCUUCUAAGGUUUUAUUCAUUAGUGAAAUAAGCAUAUUAUUCAACCAUGUUUAUGUUGUGUUGAAAGUUCAGCUCAUGGUUGUUUUAAACAACAGUAUACAAAAUUUUGUUAUUCUAACUAUACAUGUGGAGAAAGUUCUGCAGUUUUAAUCACUCCAUUAAAAUUAUCCAGGUAUUUUGAAUAUGCUAUUUUCUCAUGUCAAAUUCAACCAUUUUCGAAAUAUUGUUGUCAUAUAAGAGAGUGGAGUUGCAUUGUAUGUGAUUGUCUAUUGAAUAUUGAUAAGAGGUAAUGGAAACUUUUGUUUAAUUGCAUCAUCAGAAGUUAAAGAGCAAACAGUAAAUGAUAGUGAUACCAAGUUAUGGACUAAUGAUACAUACUUUAAAAAUAUUGAAUCUUAAUUUUAUCAACAUGUUUUAUUAGAAAUUUUGAGAGAAAACAGAAAACCACAAUUCACACCGUAAGAAACAUUUAAACUGUUCAAAAUUAUAUUCAAUUUUUUUAAUUAUUGAAUUUCAAAGACCAUAUUUAUUGAAGGUACUUCAAAAAGCUUCCUAUUCUUAUUUAUAAUCAGUUUGUAUGAAGAAACUAAUACGGACAUGCUAUUUCAAGGAUAAAUCCUUCUAAUGGAUUGUUGUAAACCAUUAUGCUAUUGCAGCAAAUACUAAUAUAUUUUUUGUGAGUAAAUGUUGUUUAUUGGUUAGGAAUUUAUAGGCAUGUAAAUAUAUCAGUAUCCAUACUACAAGAACUCACGAAUAUAAAAAAAGAAAGCAUCACAAAAAUCUGGCUAUAUAUCAUUAUACAAAAAUCUAUUUUUGCAGCAAAUAUAAGAGUGGCAGUAGUAAAUCAAGUUUAAACAUGCAUAUUGGAAAAAUAAUCAAGGUUUACAUCAGAAAUUUUAUAUGAAUGGAAAAUUUCGUACCACCUUUCAUUUCAAAACCUUUGAUAGUUGUGAUCAUUAUAUUUAUUAAAAUAAACAGAAUUGCUAAUGAAUGA